rnacentral:rRNA from 1 species
UUCGGUGAUUAUAUCAAGAGGGAAACGCCCGGAUCCAUCCCGAACCCGGAAGCUAAGCCUCUUUGAGCCGAUGGUACUGCACUCGGAAGGGUGUGGGAGAGUAGGUCAUCGCCGAGC